rnacentral:lncRNA from 1 species
AAAAAUAAAGAAGAGACAUCAUCUUCUACCCGUCAAACCACCCCACGCCCCAAAAAAAACAUCUUUCAUCUACUUCCCAACCGCCGCCGCCAGCCCCCGACCACCCAUUGGCUUUCGUACUUUUAUGGACGGAAACCAUCUUUCCGGUCUGGGAUUAGUAUUAGCAGAAGAUAAAUUGGAGUUAGAAAUAAUUAGAGAUUCAUAUUUUCUGCUAGCUGCUCACCUUCCUUCCACCACCGCCGCCGCCCCUUUCUCGACUGCCGGAGCGCUGCUGCUGUUGUUCAUUUUCCUUAUCGCGGCCGCAAUUUGCAGCGCUAUUUUCUUGUUUCUUGCACCUUCAGAACCUGCAAAUCUGAGUUUUGGAUGUAAAUGGUGGAGAGGAUA